ACGGAAGGCAGCAGUAGGGAAUUUUCGGCAAUGGGCGAAAGCCUGACCGAGCAACGCCGCGUGAACGAAGAAGUAUUUCGGUAUGUAAAGUUCUUUUAUUAGGGAAGAAAAGACAGAUUGACUGUACCUAAUGCAUAAGCUCCGGCUAACUACGUGCCAGCAGCCGCGGUAAUACGUAGGGAGCGAGCGUUAUCCGGAAUUAUUGGGCGUAAAGGGUGCGCAGAUGGCACAUUAAGUUUCUUGUAAAAAUGCGGGGCUCAACCCAGUAGGGCAAGAGAUACUUAUGAGCUAGAGUACGACAGAGGCAAGUGGAACUCCAUGUGUAGCGGUAAAAUGCGUAAAUAUAUGGAAGAACACCAGUGGCGAAGGCGGCUUGCUAGGUGGAUACAGACAUUGAGGCACGAAAGCGUGGGGAGCAAACAGGAUUAGAUACCCUGGUA
rnacentral:rRNA from 1 species